CAGGCUGUACCUGUAGCCAUGCAGCCGCCGCGCUUUGGAAGCAUGCAGUUUGAUCAUCGAGAGACCGUCAACUGCCAGAAACACUGGUACUUGGCCUGCAUCCAGCCACGCAGCCGGGAACAGCGAUGACCAUGGAGCUGAUUGGAUUAACUGGACUCAACACCACUCGAGCCGGCGGCUUCCAUCAGAGUCAGAGGAUGGCUAACAUUAAUAAAUGAGCAGCGGGUCGGCAAGCCGCUUCAAAGCUCUAUUUAAGAAAAAAAUGGUCCUAUAAGCUACUUACUUUCAUAAGCUGUGUGUGAGGGAGUUUAUAGAAGUUUACACAAAUAAAGCUGUUGCUUUUGUAGUGUUGUGGAAAAUGACCACGUGCAACAAAAGGCUUUGGUAAGAAGAGUUAAGAAAUGAAAGAUAUAUAUACUGUUAGGGUUUCGGAAAGCUCUCGAGGGAGGCCUCACUCCUUUGUUCUCGUCCCGGCCGGAAACGAAGACACA